rnacentral:rRNA from 1 species
UACAGAGGGUGCAAGCGUUGUUCGGAAUUAUUGGGCGUAAAGCGCGUGUAGGCGGCUUUGCAAGUCGGGUGUGAAAGCCCUCAGCUCAACUGAGGAAGUGCGCCCGAAACUGCAGAGCUUGAGUACCGGAGAGGAUGGCGGAAUUCCCCAAGUAGAGGUGAAAUUCGUAGAUAUCUGGAGGAACACCGGUGGCGAAGGCGGCAUCCUGGACCAUGACUGACGCUGGGGAGCGAAAGCCAGGGGAGCAAACGGG